GGUGGUACCCUUGUCCGGGUAGGACCGUUCGCCCAAACAAAAUUUCCCGCCCUGGGACUCGGGGCGGGAGGCUUCCGGGACGUACGUACUGGAUGAUGAGGGGUCGAUGAGUAUUUGAGCUCCCGGACUAGAUGCCUUCGGGUGUCGACUCUCCUUCCCUUCUGACAACGGUUUGCUGACGGAAGUUUACCCGGGCAUCAAUGUUGAUGGACUGCCCAUCAUCGAAGAUGGUCUGCCAGUCUACGUUACCUCAGGGGGCGUGCCAAUCCGCGUAGACGUGACCCAUGUCACGGUGGGUGCUGCGUCGCAUGGCUCUCCUGAGCGGCCAGAGGAUGCUGCGCCCCAUGACUCUCCCGAACCGCGGGCGGACGAUCCUGCGCCACAUGACCCUCCGGAACGUCGGCCGGAAGAGCCGAAGCGCGAGUCUUAUAUUUAAUUGAUUUGGUCAAAAAAUAUCAGACUGACAUGAGAAAUAGAAAAAAACGAAAAGGCAAAUGUGGCAAAUAAUUUCGGAUCAAAUUAACUUGGAAUUCGGCUGCAAAAUUCUGCCCAAUCAAAUUGAGAAUAAAUGGAGUGCCCUAGAAAAAAAGUACCGUAUGGUCAAACAGCACAACAACAUUUCAGGAAACGACAAGAGGACCUGUGAAUUUGAAGAACAGCUGGCCGAGGUCCUCGAGAGGCAGCAUUUAAUAAAUCCUGUUUACGUCGCGGGGGCAGGAUGUCGGCGAGUGCAGAGUGCCCAGUCAGCUGCCCCAAGCCCCCGGACCUACUCAAAGCCCGCUGCCCAACACAAGCACGGCCAUUGAGGACGCAGCGGAAGUGCGACUGGCAAGUCCUUUGCCACCAGUAAGUGCAGCCCUGGAAGCAGAAGAAACAGGGGAGCAGCAGGAGGAGCAACGGCAGGGGCGGCGGCGGCGGCGGCGGCGGCGGCGGCGGCGGCAGCAGCAGCAGCAGCAGCAGCAGCAGCAGCAGCAGCAGCAGCAGGGCCCUCCAGCCAAACGCAGUGGCAAGACCCGAACCGGGCAUGAGGGUUUUUUAAACUAUUUGAAAACAGCCGAAGAAAAUCGGGAACGGCGCCACAACGAGCGCAUGGAGGCGGAAGAGAGGCAUCAUCAGGAAAAUCUUGCUGUUGCAAGGCGCUUGGCGAGUUCCCUUGCAGCAACAGCAACCUUUUCCUGAUGAUGACUAGUCUACUGGGCGUAGUUAUAUAUUACCUGUAAAAAAUAUUUGUAUUAUUUGUAACCCUUUCAUUUUCCUUGUGUUUUUGCUUUUGAUUAUUUCCUGUUGUAUCGUGAUUUCGUAGAUUUGUUGGUAGUGUUAUUUGUGAAUUUGAUUUGUGAUUUAUGAUUGUUUGUACCUUUUUCAACCUCUAAUAAACAUCUGAUAG